rnacentral:rRNA from 1 species
GACAGAGGGGGCAAGCGUUGCUCGGAAUUACUGGGCGUAAAGGGCGCGUAGGCGGGAUGGCAAGUCGGUCGUGAAAUCCCUCGGCUCAACUGAGGAGCGUCGAUCGAAACUGCCGUUCUUGAGGGUUGCAGAGGAGACUGGAAUUCCAGGUGUAGCGGUGAAAUGCGUAGAUAUCUGGAGGAACACCGGUGGCGAAGGCGGCAUCCUGGACCGGUAUUGACGCUGAGGCGCGAAAGCCAGGGGAGCAAACGGG